GGGUUGUGAGGUUAAGCGACUAAGCGUACACGGUGGAUGCCCUGGCAGUCAGAGGCGAUGAAGGACGUGCUAAUCUGCGAAAAGCGUCGGUAAGGUGAUAUGAACCGUUAUAACCGGCGAUGUCCGAAUGGGGAAACCCAGUGCAAUUCGUUGCACUAUCGUUAACUGAAUACAUAGGUUAACGAGGCGAACCGGGGGAACUGAAACAUCUAAGUACCCCGAGGAAAAGAAAUCAACCGAGAUUCCCCCAGUAGCGGCGAGCGAACGGGGAGCAGCCCAGAGUCUGAAUCAGCUUGUGUGUUAGUGGAACGGUCUGGAAAGUCCGACGGUACAGGGUGAUAGUCCCGUACACCAAAAUGCACAGGUUGUGAACUCGAAGAGUAGGGCGGGACACGUGGUAUCCUGUCUGAAUAUGGGGGGACCAUCCUCCAAGGCUAAAUACUCCUGACUGACCGAUAGUGAACCAGUACCGUGAGGGAAAGGCGAAAAGAACCCCGGCGAGGGGAGUGAAAAAGAACCUGAAACCGUGUACGUACAAGCAGUGGGAGCACCUUCGGGUGUGACUGCGUACCUUUUGUAUAAUGGGUCAGCGACUUAUAUUCUGUAGCAAGGUUAACCGUAUAGGGGAGCCGCAGGGAAACCGAGUCUUAACUGGGCGUUAAGUUGCAGGGUAUAGACCCGAAACCCGGUGAUCUAGCCAUGGGCAGGUUGAAGGUUGGGUAACACUAACUGGAGGACCGAACCGACUAAUGUUGAAAAAUUAGCGGAUGACUUGUGGCUGGGGGUGAAAGGCCAAUCAAACCGGGAGAUAGCUGGUUCUCCCCGAAAGCUAUUUAGGUAGCGCCUCGUGAAUUCAUCUUCGGGGGUAGAGCACUGUUUCGGCUAGGGGGUCAUCCCGACUUACCAACCCGAUGCAAACUACGAAUACCGAAGAAUGUUAUCACGGGAGACACACGGCGGGUGCUAACGUCCGUCGUGAAGAGGGAAACAACCCAGACCGCCAGCUAAGGUCCCAAAGUCAUGGUUAAGUGGGAAACGAUGUGGGAAGGCACAGACAGCCAGGAUGUUGGCUUAGAAGCAGCCAUCAUUUAAAGAAAGCGUAAUAGCUCACUGGUCGAGUCGGCCUGCGCGGAAGAUGUAACGGGGCUAAACCAUGCACCGAAGCUGCGGCAGCGACACUAUGUGUUGUUGGGUAGGGGAGCGUUCUGUAAGCCUGCGAAGGUGUGCUGUGAGGCAUGCUGGAGGUAUCAGAAGUGCGAAUGCUGACAUAAGUAACGAUAAAGCGGGUGAAAAGCCCGCUCGCCGGAAGACCAAGGGUUCCUGUCCAACGUUAAUCGGGGCAGGGUGAGUCGACCCCUAAGGCGAGGCCGAAAGGCGUAGUCGAUGGGAAACAGGUUAAUAUUCCUGUACUUGGUGUUACUGCGAAGGGGGGACGGAGAAGGCUAUGUUAGCCGGGCGACGGUUGUCCCGGUUUAAGCAUGUAGGCUGGUUAUCCAGGCAAAUCCGGAUAAUCAAGGCUGAGGUGUGAUGACGAGGCACUACGGUGCUGAAGUAACAAAUGCCCUGCUUCCAGGAAAAGCCUCUAAGCAUCAGGUAACAUCAAAUCGUACCCCAAACCGACACAGGUGGUCAGGUAGAGAAUACCAAGGCGCUUGAGAGAACUCGGGUGAAGGAACUAGGCAAAAUGGUGCCGUAACUUCGGGAGAAGGCACGCUGGUGUGUAGGUGAAGUCCCUGCGGAUGGAGCUGAGACCAGUCGAAGAUACCAGCUGGCUGCAACUGUUUAUUAAAAACACAGCACUGUGCAAACACGAAAGUGGACGUAUACGGUGUGACGCCUGCCCGGUGCCGGAAGGUUAAUUGAUGGGGUUAUCCGUAAGGAGAAGCUCUUGAUCGAAGCCCCGGUAAACGGCGGCCGUAACUAUAACGGUCCUAAGGUAGCGAAAUUCCUUGUCGGGUAAGUUCCGACCUGCACGAAUGGCGUAAUGAUGGCCAGGCUGUCUCCACCCGAGACUCAGUGAAAUUGAACUCGCUGUGAAGAUGCAGUGUACCCGCGGCAAGACGGAAAGACCCCGUGAACCUUUACUAUAGCUUGACACUGAACAUUGAGCCUUGAUGUGUAGGAUAGGUGGGAGGCUUUGAAGCGUGGACGCCAGUCUGCGUGGAGCCAACCUUGAAAUACCACCCUUUAAUGUUUGAUGUUCUAACGUUGGCCCCUUAUCGGGGUUGCGGACAGUGUCUGGUGGGUAGUUUGACUGGGGCGGUCUCCUCCCAAAGCGUAACGGAGGAGCACGAAGGUUAGCUAAUCCUGGUCGGACAUCAGGAGGUUAGUGCAAUGGCAUAAGCUAGCUUGACUGCGAGCGUGACGGCGCGAGCAGGUGCGAAAGCAGGUCAUAGUGAUCCGGUGGUUCUGAAUGGAAGGGCCAUCGCUCAACGGAUAAAAGGUACUCCGGGGAUAACAGGCUGAUACCGCCCAAGAGUUCAUAUCGACGGCGGUGUUUGGCACCUCGAUGUCGGCUCAUCACAUCCUGGGGCUGAAGUAGGUCCCAAGGGUAUGGCUGUUCGCCAUUUAAAGUGGUACGCGAGCUGGGUUUAGAACGUCGUGAGACAGUUCGGUCCCUAUCUGCCGUGGGCGCUGGAGAAUUGAGGGGGGCUGCUCCUAGUACGAGAGGACCGGAGUGGACGCAUCACUGGUGUUCGGGUUGUCAUGCCAAUGGCACUGCCCGGUAGCUAAAUGCGGAAGAGAUAAGUGCUGAAAGCAUCUAAGCACGAAACUUGCCCCGAGAUGAGUUCUCCCUGAGACUUUAAGUCUCCUGAAGGAACGUUGAAGACGACGACGUUGAUAGGCCGGGUGUGUAAGCGCAGCGAUGCGUUGAGCUAACCGGUACUAAUGAACCGUGAGGCUUAACCUUACAACGCCGAAG
rnacentral:rRNA from 1 species